rnacentral:rRNA from 1 species
AGAGUUUGAUCCUGGCUCAGAUUGAACGCUGGCGGAAUGCUUUACACAUGCAAGUCGAACGGCAGCACGGGAGCUUGCUCCUGGUGGCGAGUGGCGAACGGGUGAGUAAUAUAUCGGAACGUAUCCAAUAAUGGGGGAUAACUAGUCGAAAGAUUAGCUAAUACCGCAUACGCCCUGAGGGGGAAAGCUGGGGAUCUUCGGACCUAGCGUUAAUGGAGCGGCCGAUAUCUGAUUAGCUAGUAGGUGAGGUAAAAGCUCACCUAGGCGACGAUCAGUAGCUGGUCUGAGAGGACGACCAGCCACACUGGAACUGAGACACGGUCCAGACUCCUACGGGAGGCAGCAGUGGGGAAUUUUGGACAAUGGGCGCAAGCCUGAUCCAGCCAUUCCGCGUGAGUGAAGAAGGCCUUCGGG